AAGGGGUGAUGUGAUUGGGUAGGAGGUUAGUAAGGGGUGAUGUGAUUGGGUAGGAGGUUAGUAAGGGGUGAUGUGAUUGGGUAGGAGGUUAGUAAGGGGUGAUGUGAUUGGGUAGGAGGUUAGUAAGGGGUGAUGUGAUUGGGUAGGAGGUUAGUAAGGGGUGAUGUGAUUGGGUAGGAGGUUAGUAAGGGGUGAUGUGAUUGGGUAGGAGGUUAGUAAGGGGUGAUGUGAUUGGGUAGGAGGUUAGUAAGGGGUGAUGUGAUUGGGUAGGAGGUUAGUAAGGGGUGAUGUGAUUGGGUAGGAGGUUAGUAAGGGGUGAUGUGAUUGGGUAGGAGGUUAGUAAGGGGUGAUGUGAUUGGGUAGGAGGUUAGUAAGGGGUGAUGUGAUUGGGUAGGAGGUUAGUAAGGGGUGAUGUGAUUGGGUAGGAGGUUAGUAAGGGGUGAUGUGAUUGGGUAGGAGGUUAGUAAGGGGUGAUGUGAUUGGGUAGGAGGUUAGUAAGGGGUGAUGUGAUUGGGUAGGAGGUUAGUAAGGGGUGAUGUGAUUGGGUAGGAGGUUAGUAAGGGGUGAUGUGAUUGGGUAGGAGGUUAGUAAGGGGUGAUGUGAUUGGG